UUGAACGCUGGCGGCAUGCUUUACACAUGCAAGUCGAACGGCAGCGGGGUAGUGCUUGCACUACUGCCGGCGAGUGGGGAACGGGUGAGUAAUAUAUCGGAACGUACCGAGUAAUGGGGGAUAACCAAUCGAAAGAUUGGCUAAUACCGCAUACGUCCUGAGGGAGAAAGCGGGGGAUCGCAAGACCUCGCGUUAUUCGAGCGGCCGAUAACUGAUUAGCUAGUUGGUGGGGUAAAGGCCUACCAAGGCGACGAUCAGUAGCGGGUCUGAGAGGACGAUCCGCCACACUGGGACUGAGACACGGCCCAGACUCCUACGGGAGGCAGCAGUGGGGAAUUUUGGACAAUGGGGGCAACCCUGAUCCAGCCAUGCCGCGUGUAUGAAGAAGGCCUUCGGGUUGUAAAGUACUUUUGUUAGGGAAGAAAAGGGAAGUGCUAAUACCACUUUUUGCUGACGGUACCUAAAGAAUAAGCACCGGCUAACUACGU
rnacentral:rRNA from 1 species